GUUUCAUUCAUAACGGGCCAGGCCCAGAAGAAACAAAAGGACAAAGGCCCUUAAAGCAGCUAACAAUCGCAUAGCUAAAAAAAUACAACGAAAAGAGCAAAGCUAGAAUAGCUGGCUAAUGGAAUAAAUUCCACCAAGCAGAAGACAAAAGCCAUAAAGGCACAGACUAAGAGAACCACAUGGAUGCCAUUAGAAACAGCUCGGGAAACAGAGAGAAAGAGUUGUUGACCAGAGAAGGGAGAUCUAAGACCCUUGAGCAAACCAAAUUGAUCCAUGGAGGAGGAGCAGGAAGCACCCAGAAAAGCACUUGGCAGCAGGGAAUCAUCAUCCAUUUCUUCUAUCACGCUCCAGCAGAAGCAGGAGAGAUGGUGGAGGAUUCCAAAGCCAAAGUGGAGGGAGGACUGCAGAUAUGGCAAGUUGGGCAACAGAAUGAGCCACUGCGUUACCUUCUCUUGGUGUCCAAAGAAAAGACCACUCAGGAAACUCUGACUUCCAAGCAUUGAUGUCCUGAAUGAUAUUAGCAAGCUCUCCAAUUUUCCUGACUCCAUUACAAGCUUCAAUUAAUUGUUUGCAAUCUGAUUCAAACCAAACCUUUUUUUGUUCCAGGUUAUGGGCAAUAUGCACAGCUUCUCUCAGGAUUAGCGCUUCUGCAGCAAGGGGGAAUUUGCAUAAAGCUUCUUGGCAGCACCACAAUUGACUAUUCCAAACUCAUCCCUGAAGAUAUAGGCUCCGCUAGCUUUCCUGGUGAAUCUGUUUUUCCAUAGCUGACAUAGACUUCAAGAGAAGGUUAGCUGCAUUUUUCAGGCAAAGGCUCGGGUUUGGGGGGAUUCCUUCAAAAACAGCUCUGUUGCGUGACUUCCAAAUUUCCCAAAGCAGAAUGGAAAAAUAAGCAAUAUCCUAGGUUGGAUCUGGAACUGCAGAGACCAAGGUUGAGAAGAGACUUUCCAACCAACUAGCAAAGGAAGAGGUAAGGGCUCCAAGAGGUGCAAGGCAUAAAGUGCUACCAAACCAAACAGCACGGGUCCAUGUACAACCCAACAAGGUGUGGUUAAUGUCCUCUGCCAUAGAGUUGCAAAUUGGGCAGGACUCAUCCCUAGCAAGGUUCCUUCUCUUCAGACUUUGGUUAAUUGGGAGCGCAUUGCUGCAAGCCUUCCAAAGGAAAGACUUAAUCUUCUGAGGGACUUUAGCACCCCAGAUAGUUUGCCAUAAAACCUGUGUGGGGUGGGAAGAGGAGGUGGCCAAACUCUGGUUGUUGCUGAUGGCAGCUUUGACAGUUUCGUACCCCGACUUAACUGUAAGGAGGCCUGAGGGCACUUGAGGCCAGAAGAGGCGAUCUUCCCCCCCUGAGAGGCUGAAGGAAGUUUGCAAGAUCUUUCCUACUUCAGUUGGGGGAAGGUAUUGCUGAAUGGUUUCAACCUUCCAUCUCUGAUGUUCCCUGUCAAUUAGAUCACUCACUUUUUGGUUCCAAGGGCCCCCAAUAAUCUUCUCUCCAGUAGCAAUCCAGCGAUGGUUUGAGAUAUCAACUUUCUCUCCCGUGCCAAUGCUCUAUUGGCCAUGGUUUAACAACAGGUCUCUUCCAAAGAGGAGGCUCGACCAGACCCAGGAAGCGUUCCUAGGCUUGGGAAUUGAGAGAAAGUCUGUGGUGGGGAAGUAGAUCCCUUUGAGAAUUCUGACCCAUAAGGCAGUAGGUUCUUGAUAUAUCCUCCACGCUUGCUUUGCCAGCAAAGAUUGGUUCAUUAUCUCUAAAUCUUUAAAACCCAUUCCCCCUUCUUCCUUUCUCAUAGUUAGGCUU